rnacentral:siRNA from 1 species
CCACAAUCCUUGACUCAAAAUGGU